rnacentral:rRNA from 1 species
CAUUACUGCAUACUAGUCUUUGGGAGCGACGGCCGCCCGCCAGGCAACCUUCACAGGGGCCUGGCCGCGCGCCGCCGCCUCGACCACGCACACACCCUCCGAGUUCCUUCCCCAUGUUGCUUCCCCUCGGUCGCCCCCACAAGGGCCCGCAGGGGAAGGUCCAAAAGAAACCCUCUCGCCAUCGACCGGAGUCUGAACGCAAAAAAAUCUAAGCAAAUAGUUAAAACUUUCAACAACGGAUCUCUUGGUUCCCGCAUCGAUGAAGAACGCAGCGAAAUGCGAUAAGUAAUGUGAAUUGCAGAAUUCAGUGAAUCAUCGAAUCUUUGAACGCACAUUGCGCCCUCUGGUAUUCCGGAGGGCAUGCCUGUUCGAGCCUCAAUGAAAAACAUCUCCCCAAGGGUCCUCCCACCCCCCGCAGAAGGGGUUGGGGGGGCCACCCACUUGGGGGUCCUGGUGGACGCGCACGCCCCGAAAAGCGAGCGCGCCGCUCAAAUGCCCGGUCAGCAGGCCCGAGCGGCACACCCGACGUAGUGAUGAUACUUGCCCGUCGGCGUGUGCCCCUCAGAAGGCCUGGGACCUUAAGCGCCCCACCCGGCGCCCACCCCACACGGUUGAGCUCGGAUCAGGUAGGGAUACCCGCUGAACUUAA